rnacentral:rRNA from 1 species
UACGUAGGGGGCAAGCGUUGUCCGGAUUUAUUGGGCGUAAAGAGCGUGUAGGCGGCCAGGCAGGUCCGUUGUGAAAACUCGAGGCUCAACCUCGAGACGCCGAUGGAAACCAUCUGGCUAGAGUCCGGAAGAGGAGAGUGGAAUUCCCGGUGUAGCGGUGAAAUGCGCAGAUAUCGGGAAGAACACCCGUGGCUAAGGCGGCUCUCUAGUACGGUACUGACGCUGAGACGCGAAAGCGUGGGGAGCGAACAGG